rnacentral:rRNA from 14 species
AAAAUGUAACGGGGCUAAAGCCAUACACCGAAGUCGCGGGCUCGCAAGAGCGGUAGCAGAGCGUUCCGCAAGUCAGUGAAGGGAUACCCGCGAGGGAUCCUGGAGAUACCGGAAGUGCGAAUGUUGACAUGAGUAACGAUAAAGGGGGUGAGAGACCCCCUCGCCGAAAGUCCAAGGGUUCCUGCGCAAUGCUAAUCAGCGCAGGGUAAGCCGGCCCCUAAGGCGAGGCCGAAAGGCGUAGUCGAUGGGAACCAGGUUAAUAUUCCUGGGCCAGCGGGUAGUGACGGAUGCCGGACUUUGUUCACCCUUAAUGGAUUGGGUGGGCAAUAAAGGUGUCCCUGGAAAUAGCUCCCGCAUGAGACCGUACCCCAAACCGACACAGGUGGACAGGUAGAGCAUA